AGAGGAACAACCAGAAGUGGAUCGCCCACCCUAGCCCACGUUCCCCCAAUCCCCAUCCCCCGAUUCCUCUCCCUCUCUCCCUCGUCCGGCGCCGCCACCACUCAACGGCCCGCGCCCUCCCUCAUAGCCGCCGCCGCCAGCGCCCUCCCCCACAUCCUGCGCCCCACCCCUUCUCUCCUCCCCUCCCCUUAUCGUCAUCACCGACGACCUCAUCGCCUUCCCCUCGCUCCAGAUCGAGCAGCAGGUCCGGAUCCACGACGAAGGCGGCGCGAGCGCCCCGGUGUGCAGGUUCAAGCCGCGUGAAGAGGGUGCUCGUUGCGGCUCUAACCCUGGUGCCAACGCCAUGAAGAAGGAGAACAUCUCUCCUGUUCGUGAAGCAUCCCCAACCCUAGCCCUUCUUUGCCCAUGACGACCGAGCAGACAGGAGGUACUAAUCCCUCCACUUAUCUGAUUUUCUUCACCCUUAUGUGAUGCGUGCCGUCUACUUUUGUGCAUGUUUCAUGGAGAGGAGAAGCUGCUUCAAUCCCAUCUGCUCAAGGAGGAUGCCCACCAUCCAAGGUGCUCAACAUCAUCACCAUUUGUUGCCUGCCAAGGCUUGAUAGGUUGGAAAAUGUCUUCAAGAUUUGUCAGUCAGUGAGUUUCUUGACUAAAUAUGCAGUAGAAACAAGACCUGAUAGAGCUGAGUUCACUGAAUAUGAGGUAGAUGAUAACAUGGUCGGCCACCAGGGAGCUAGCUUAGUUGAGCUGCGACGCGCGGAAAUAAAAAAUGGAAAGAAGCCCCAGGGGCAGUACGGGGGAAGCAUCCGUAAGAUCACUGAAUGCAAUGGGACACAUGUGAACCAAACUGAAUUAAGAUCAUCAGUGCCAACACAUACAGAGAGAAGCAAGUGGCAACCGCCAGCUGAAGGCAUUUGGAAAUUAAACACUGACACAUCCUUCCUGUCCAAUACGAGAGAUUCUGCGGCAGGUUUUAUUGCUAGAACAAAUGAGGGUGUGGUUGUUUUGGCAGGUGGCCAACGCUUGCAAGCUUGUGAGGACCCGGAGGAAGCUGAAUUUGCUGCUGUUGCACACGGACUUGCAGUGUUAAGCAAGUACUACAGAGGUCCAGUGUGUGUGGAGUCGGACUGUGCAUCAAUUGUCACAUUGCUGAAUAACAGAGCGUGCAACCGAUCGGCCCGGUUCGCCCGAGUAGCGGACAUCUGGCACUUCGAGAAUGUGUUCAAAGAAGUGUCCUUCAGGGAUGUGAGAAGAUCCAGCUACAAAAUGGCGCAUGAGCUUGUGGCUCAAGCAAGGAGACAGGGAGACUAUCUUAUAAUCGGAGACGUUCCACUUUCUUUAAGAAGGAUCCUCAUGGAGGAUUGUAAUAGCUCUCCCAAUGUUAUCUAAGUGUAGCUGGGUUGGUCCUAAAAAAAAGACGAUAAGAGGAUACAGUACCACAACGAAUACAUGUUAGAUGCUAUAAGGUGAUUUAAUUUCUCUGUGCAUAUACUAGAACUGAAUCACCAACACUGAGCAUCAUCAAUGUGUGCCACUGUAAUCGCUGACCAGAUUGGUACUUAAGUGCUCGAUAUGCAGCCUGAACUACUGCAGGAAAUAGGGCUGCAACAUCUGCGGGUACUUUGUGUGGUUCUGACUAUCCAUGUUUAUAUUUAGAAUGGAGUUGUUUUAAAUACUAGACUACCUACAGGACUGAGCGCUCCAGGUGUGGAGGAUGGUUCUUCUGAUUAAUCGUCGUGUUGAGGCAAGUGCACGACGGACCUUUCUCCGUAUACUUCACUGUGUUGUUGACGUAUAUGAAAAUGAGUUGAGUAGUCUGAUUAGAGGAUGACGGAGGACGUCGGGAUUUUGAUCCAGCAGCCUUGCCCCCUUCUCGUUCGGCGUGCCACCUGCAGGAGGUUACGUUCGAGAUCUUCAGAAUUUUUAGGUGUUUGAUACAGUUCUCCUAAAAAGGGAGAAGUCUCUGAGGUGAUUUCUUCUUUUGCAUGAUAUUACAGUGUCCUCCUGUAUUUUCUGUUUUUUGUAGGCAUGUUAAAAUGUUGUUGUUCCUUUUGACCACACUAAUGUGUCUGUCCGCUCACCAGUCACCACACCUAACUAUUUUUUAUUUAUUUUGUUAUAGGAAAUCUACUUGUUCUUUCAAGCUAUGAAAAUUUUAGAUCAGUAUAUUUUAAGGUUGUAAAGACUGAUGUGUCGGCUAAAGACUAAAGAUCAUAAAUUCAUUGUUUACCCUACCAAGUUUAUUUCUCUUUGAAGAUUAUUCUAGAAACUAUAUUAUAAGUCCAUUGCUACUUUUUAUUUGUAACUUAUGGUAUACUCCCUCCAUCCUUCAAAGAGUAUACUUCCAACAUUGUUGGAGGGUCAAACUAUCUCAAAGUUUGACCGAUUUUGUGCAAAAAUAUAUCAAUGUUUUUGAAACCAAAUAAG